ACAUGAAUUUAAGAUUUAUUUGCAAUUACCCCACCAUUUACAAUUUCACCCAAAUUAAUCUGAGUUGGCGAUGAUCGGAUUGCCAACGUGGCCGCCGGAAUCGCCAAAUCACGCAUACACCUCUCUCUCUUUCUCUCACACACACACACACAUGGUAGAGAUUGCAGGGAAAGCAGCUAUUAGUGCUUCCCCCGCCCCUUCGCCGCCCGUGGCCGCCCUCGCCCCAUUCGCCGCCCUCCUCCACCAACAGAGACGUCUUCAACAGAAGUUACCCCCCAAAUCUACAACUUGACUGCAGCCAUAGAGAUUAUAGGGUUUCCAUCAAAAAAUCUGAUGCAAAGCCAUCAAUCCAUCAACGAUUUCACCACCCACCACAAAUCACCAAAGCUUAAUAAUGGUUUCACCAGAUUCACGGAAUCACCACCACGAUCCAUCUUUCAGAAGUGUUAAUUUCACCGGCGAUGGGGUUGGGGAAGGGGGAGUGGCGGCAGAAUGACAAAUUGCAACGGCGGCGCAGUCGACUGGCGGCAGAAUGACGGCGGAGUUCGAGGAGGGGCAGCUGGAGAGACCCAAAUGGACCGGCGAGACGCCGCUUUCUCAGCUCGUCGGAGGUUGGGGGAAGGUCUGUUGGAUUGGGGGGUGGGGGGGAAGGGGAUGGU
rnacentral:lncRNA from 1 species